AUUUUCAUAGCUUAAAUAGAGCAAGGUCUUGAAGCGGCCUGGGUAGAGUAAAUCUUGAAGAUA
rnacentral:tRNA from 1 species